GGGCAAUUAGCUCAGCGGUAGAGCACAUCGUUUACAUCGAUGGGGUCGCAGGUUCAAGUCCUGCAUUGCCCA
rnacentral:tRNA from 1 species